rnacentral:lncRNA from 1 species
GCAACUCUUACAUAUCUUCUAUCUUUUGGGGCCAGUGGAUGCUCACAUUCCUUAUUGUGGUCAGGAGCUAAAUAGGGCAGAAGAUCAAAGACAAAGUUGAACAAAAAAAUUGAAGACUAACUCAAGCAUAUAGGUGAUACCUAUGUAUAAUACCAAGUGCACCGAGAAUAUAAUUGAAUCAAUGUAAAUAAAGACGCAAAAAGAUCUAGAUAAAAAAAUAUAUAUAUUUAACAUUUUUCUAUAAAUUAAAUUAACGAAGAUUUUUAGCAUUAGUGCUUCUCUAUGAAUAAUCUAUGAAGAAGGAAAGCCAACAAAUAUACUAUUCAAACAACUAUAUCAUCACCUUUCGAAUAUCCACGAGUAGCAUAUAAUAAUUGUAUCCAAUUCUAAACUAAAUGCAAGGAACAACUUUAUGAGUAUGUUAAGUGGAAAGCUGUACAUCACAUAUAGAAGAAAUCAAAAAACAAAAAAGAAAUGCACCAUACCAAAGCAAUAGAAAUAGUCAUCGGUCCCCGCUAGAGGAUUGAUCGAGCUGUAACUGUUAAUGGUGAACCACGGUCUUCUCAAUUAAGGAGACGGCGGCUGUGAGCAACAGCUACGAUGUUGAGGUCGCCGGGAAAGAGUAGAGGAGAGAGAGUGCGGUAGUCUCAAUGAGAGAGACGACAAUAUCGGUGGUUACAGCACGAUGGCGGCAAGGAAUAACAGAUGUCUGGCAGCAAUGAUGAUGUUGAGGUCGCUGGGGAGGAGUAGCUAGAGAGAAAUGGAGCGGUGGUGGUCUGGCUCUCGAUGGCGAACGGCGGAGGUUGAGAUCGAUCGAAUUUGUGAUGGGGAUUUUGGUCGCCGGAGCGGUUGCAGGGUUAAGCGGCAGACGAGGGUUUUCAAUUUGGGGGUGAAUUGUUUUUUAGUAGGUUUGACUUGUGGGGGUGAGAAACCGC